rnacentral:rRNA from 1 species
GACGAACGUUGGCGGCGUGCUUAAUACAUGCAAGUCAACUGAAGCAGUGGUAGCAAUAUCGCUGUGGAGGUGGCGCACGGGUGAGUAACACGUAGGUAAUCUGCCUUCAGGUCUGGCAUAACUCCGGGAAACCGGGGCUAAUAGCAGAUGAUGCAGCGGCUCGACAUCGAGACAGUUGUUAAAGCUAUGGCGCCUGAAGAUGAGCCUGCGUCUGAUUAGCUAGUUGGCGGGGUAACGGCCCACCAAGGCAUCGAUCAGUAGCUGGUCUGAGAGGAUGAUCAGCCACACUGGAACUGAGACACGGUCCAGACUCCUACGGGAGGCAGCAGUAAGGAAUAUUGCUCAAUGGGAGAAAUCCUGAAGCAGCAACGCCGCGUGAGGGACGAAGGGCUUUUGCUUGUAAACCUCUGUAGUGAGAGAAAAAAAUCCCAAUCUUUGGGACAUGAUGGUAUCUCAAAAGUAAGCCCCGGCUAACUACGUG